rnacentral:rRNA from 1 species
CCUACGGGGUGCAGCAGUGAGGAAUAUUGGUCAAUGGGCGGGAGCCUGAACCAGCCAAGCCGCGUGCAGGAAGAAGGCGCCAGGCGUCGUAAACUUCUUUUGUCGGGGAACAAAGGGCGCCACGCGUGGCGUUGUGAGUGUACCCGAAGAAAAAGCAUCGGCCAACUCCGUGCCAGCAGCCGCGGUAAUACGGAGGAUGCGAGCGUUAUGCGGAUUUAUGGGGUUUAAAGGGUGCGUAGGGGGACCGGAAAGUCAGCGGUAAAAGCCCGGGGCUCAACCCCGGCCAGCCGUUGAAACUGUGGGACUAGAGACGGUGAGAGGUACGCGGAAUGCGUGGUGUAGCGGUGAAAUGCAUAGAUAUC